rnacentral:tRNA from 1 species
GGUGCAUUAAUUUAAUGGUAGAAUUGAACGCUACGGAUGUUUUAGUGCUUGUUCGAAUCAAGCAUGCACCG